GGACUUGUCAGUGCCUUUCAGGCGCAGCAGAGGGCUCGUGGUCCCAAAUGCACAUCCUCAGAAGUGAAGGUCCAUCCCAGCCCAGGUUCAGAGGAGGGAGAAGGAAGCAGAGCAGUGCCCAGCAAACCACCCAGCAGAAGGGAUCUGCAGAACUUUACAUGAAGUCGAACUUCACUUCCCUUGUCAGCCUGCUCGGAGUGACUCACUGGAGAGGGUCAGAGUUAGAGGGCAGAAGUGACUCUUUUGGGCAUCUCUCCUUUGAAGAUACUGCAGAAGAGCAAGUAUGCUUAACACCAAACCAGAUUUUUUACUGUUAUUGAAGACAGGGUAUUUUGCUUAAAGAAUUGUGAUGGCACAGGGACACACAGUGUCUCUAAAGACCAAAAGUAAUGUUUGUUACUUUUCCUGGAGGGAGAGGCUCCCUGUAUCCUAACCUGCCUGUGUUCCCUCAUCCCUUCCCCACCCCAUCCCACUUUCAGUCUCACCUGCAAUUCCUGAUGGCUAUUUCUCAUCAGAGCCUCUGAGUUUGCCAAACUCUGCAUUGCUGGUGUGAUGUACGCAAAGACUUAUUUCAGAUAAUUGUCUUUGUUCAAGGAGUAAUUUGCGAUUUAUACCCUGAUGUCCAUAAAUAAAUGGCCACAAAGUCUGUGGUGUGUCC